ACGACAUGAUGGGGACAUUUUUUGAUGAGGUGCUUUAAUCUUUCUCAUGACUCAUGAAAUUGCUCACCAUCUUGCUGCGAGAAACUAGUGAGAGCUCGCUUUAUCUGAUUGG
rfam:Cephalotus follicularis DNA, scaffold: scaffold196, isolate: St1.